UACGUAGGGUGCGAGCGUUAAUCGGAAUGACUGGGCGUAAAGCGUGCGCAGGCGGUUUGCUAAGACCGAUGUGAAAUCCCCGGGCUUAACCUGGGAACUGCAUUGGUGACUGGCAGGCUAGAGUAUGGCAGAGGGGGGUAGAAUUCCACGUGUAGCAGUGAAAUGCGUAGAGAUGUGGAGGAAUACCGAUGGCGCAGGCAGCCCCCUGGGCCAAUACUGACGCUCAUGCACGAAAGCGUGGGGAGCAAACAGG
rnacentral:rRNA from 1 species